rnacentral:rRNA from 1 species
GUAGUGAGGGCCUUGGUCAGACGCAGCGGGCGUGCUUGUGGACUGCUUGGUGGGGCUUGCUCUGCUAGGCGGACUACUUGCGUGCCUGUUGUAGACGGCCUUGGUACUUGCUAC